UACGGGGGGGGCAAGCGUUGUUCGGAAUUACUGGGCGUAAAGGGCUCGUAGGCGGCCAACUAAGUCAUACGUGAAAUCCCUCAGCUUAACCGGGGAACUGCGUCUGAUACUGGAUGGCUUGAGUUCGGGAGAGGGAUGCGGAAUUCCAGGUGUAGCGGUGAAAUGCGUAGAUAUCUGGAGGAACACCGGUGGCGAAGGCGGCAUCCUGGACCGAUACUGACGCUGAGGAGCGAAAGCCAGGGGAGCAAAGCGGG
rnacentral:rRNA from 1 species